rnacentral:rRNA from 1 species
CGGGAUAAGCUCAAAUUUAAAAUCUGGUGGGUGUUUGGCCUGCCCGAGUUGUAGUCUGGAGAAGUGCUUUCUGUGCUGAACCGUGUACAAGUCUCUUGGAACAGAGCGUCAUAGAGGGUGAGAAUCCCGUCUUUGACACGGACUAUCAGUGCUUUGUGAUGCGCUCUCAAU